rnacentral:rRNA from 1 species
CAGUAGCCACGGUAAAACGUAGGUGGCAAGCGUUGUCCGGAAUUAUUGGGCGUAAAGGGCUCGCAGGCGGUUUCUUAAGUCUGAUGCGAAAGCCCCCGGCUCAACCGGGGAGGGUCAUUGGAAACUGGGAAACUUGAGUGCAGAAGAGGAGAGUGGAAUCCCACGUGUAGCGGUGAAAUGCGUAGAGAUGUGGAGGAACACCAGUGGCGAAGGCGACUCUCUGGUCUGUAACUGACGCUGAGGAGCGAAAGCGUGGGGAGCGAACAGGAUUAGAGACCCCUGUAGUCCCUGUCUCUUAUAC